GCGGGUGUAACUCAGUGGUAGAGUACCUCGUUGCCAACGAGGUUGUCGUGGGUUCAAGUCCCAUCACCCGCU
rfam:Gemmata sp. SH-PL17, complete genome.